CACCAGUAGUAAAGUGCUUUCAGCCAGUUAACGCCAGGCUGCGGAAACAGGCUUGUGUGACUGCUACAGGAACCUAACGCUCGGCUCGACCAAUAAUGACAGUUCUAGCUUUAGCGAAACAACGGACAUCGUCAUGUGACGAAUAACGGACUGAGCUAACAGACUGCUUCCCCUCCAAAGAUCGUCUAAUCAUAUGACGACUCAGAAUUCGGAAAAAACGGGACCGACGCUCUGGCUGUGACAGCAGAGGAGCCUCAAUCAGUGCAGCCCAUCCUUACAUCCAUAAAUUACUUAUUAUGAUGUCAUACACUAAAAAAUAAUAUUUUUUCCAUUUAUGCUUUGAUCUAUUGACCACCAAGCCAAGAAUAAAAUGCAGUUUAACAUAAUUUGUAACAAGUGUACAAAUAAUAAUAAAAACAUAAAACAACA